UACGUAGGGUGCAGGCGUUAAUCGGAAUUACUGGGCGUAAAGCGUGCGCAGGCGGUUUUGUAAGUUUGUCGUGAAAUCCCCGGGCUCAACCUGGGAAUGGCGAUGAAGACUGCAAGGCUAGAAUCUGGCAGAGGGGGGUAGAAUUCCACGUGUAGCAGUGAAAUGCGUAGAGAGUGUGGAGGAACACCGAUGGCGCAAGGCAGCCCCCUGGGUCAAGAUUGACGCUCAUGCACGAAAGCGUGGGGAGCAAAACGAGGAUUAAGAAACCCG
rnacentral:rRNA from 1 species